rnacentral:rRNA from 1 species
GAUGAACGCUGGCGGCGUGCCUAAUACAUGCAAGUCGAGCGAACAGACGAGGAGCUUGCUCCUCUGACGUUAGCGGCGGACGGGUGAGUAACACGUGGAUAACCUACCUAUAAGACUGGGAUAACUUCGGGAAACCGGAGCUAAUACCGGAUAAUAUAUUGAACCGCAUGGUUCAAUAGUGAAAGACGGUUUUGCUGUCACUUAUAGAUGGAUCCGCGCCGCAUUAGCUAGUUGGUGAGGUAACGGCUUACCAAGGCAACGAUGCGUAGCCGACCUGAGAGGGUGAUCAGCCACACUGGAACUGAGACACGGUCCAGACUCCUACGGGAGGCAGCAGUAGGGAAUCUUCCGCAAAGGGCGAAAGCCUGACGGAGCAACGCCGCGUGAGUGAUGAAGGUCUUCGGGUCGUAAAACUCUGUUAUUAGGGAAGAACAAAUGUGUAAGUAACUAUGCACGUCUUGACGGUACCUAAUCAGAAAGCCACGGCUAACUACGUG